ACAUUUGAGGAAUUUAACACGAAUAUUCGCGCUCCCCCUGCCCUCCGAAGGCAGAGGCCAAAGGUUCGAAUCCUUUCGGGUGCA
rnacentral:tRNA from 1 species